rnacentral:rRNA from 1 species
UGGGGAAUUUUGGACAAUGGGCGCAAGCCUGAUCCAGCCAUUCCGCGUGAGUGAAGAAGGCCUCGGUUGUAAGCUCUUUCGGUCAGGAACGAAACGGCGAGCUCUAACAUAGCUCGCUAAUGACGGUACCUGAAGAAGAAGCACCGGCUACUACGUGCC